rnacentral:tRNA from 3 species
GCCGAAGUGGCGGAACGGUAGACGCGCUACGUUCAGGACGUAGUAUCCUUACGGGUGUGUGGGUUCGAAUCCCUCCUUCGGCACCA